CUUCAUAUCACAUACAUCUCCAGCUCCUACAACAACAUUCAGUGUCCAGCAGCUCUUUAUGAAUCUCUGUCUCUCUCUCUCUCUCUCUCUGUCUCUCUCUUUCUCUCUGCCUCUCUCUCUCUCUCAUUUUCCUUUCCUAUUUUUCUGAACUGUAGUUCAUAAUUAAGUCACACAUAUUUUUCUUUCUUUCUUUCUCUUGUUCAUCAUGGCAUAUUUUCACAGCUCAGAAUCAGAUUUGGAUCAGUUCUUGUAUUAACAGGGAACUUGAACUCGAAGCUCAAUGCUGAACUUGAAGAAGUUUCCAGUAAAGCUGAAGUCCUUCAAAGGUUCGACACAUCACAGCUGAAAAGGAAGACCAUGGGCCUGUCAAACUCUUGUCAAACCCGUCUUGUUUGUGGAGAGGGAUGAAUUUGACCAUCUUGUGUGUUUAAGGAGAAGACCAAAAGCUACUAAGGCAAAUAUUUCCAGAGGUACAAACAGAGCAGAUGGUUGCAUGAUGGCCUCUUUCAGUUUUGUCAACUGAACGUCUACUAGUGAGGCUCAGCAAGUUCUUGUCAUGAUCAGCCCACUCCAAGAAAGCUGAAGAGCAAAAACACAAAGAACAUCAGUCCUGUUGGGGAUGAGGAAUGAACAUGGCUCUAUUGUGCCCAAACAGAAAAGAGUGAAAAGUCCUAGAAUGAACAAUUUAUCAGGGCAUCAUUUCUAGAAUUUGGGCAGAAAAUUACUGAAUAUGGAAGACUGCAGUAGAAGGAAAGCUGGUACUGAAAACAUUUGUCUUCACUCACAUGGUCCAGACUAAAGAGAAGCUGGUCUGAGGCCAGAGAUGGAGGAGUCAAUGGUCACCAAAUGCAGCGCUGCAGCCUGAAACUGUGAAGACUGGAUUCCCAAACAGCUCUGUGACAGCACAGAUGUUACGGCCAUAAAGGAAACUUCACAACUUGGAGCCCAUACCUCCAACAACCUUCAACAGGAAUCAAUGGACAUCUACGCAAGGUUUUUCUUUUGUUGAGGACCGUCAAGAGACUCCAGCCACACGAGCCAUGGAUUGCUCUCACCGUUACCAUCAGACAGACGUUAUCACAGAACCAGCACCAGCAGACUGCAAGACAAGUUCCUUCCGCAGGCAAUCAGACUAAACUGAACUCGUACAGUAACACCACACACACCAGCAGCCUCAUUCUGCAGCCUGACAUUCUGUUUGCACUAAUUCAUACUGUACUGCACUGCAGAAGUAUAUCUACAGUAUACAGUGAUUGUUGUUUGUUUUCAUUUUGUUCUCUCUGUAUAGUAUAGUAUUGCACUAUAUUUUCUACCUGUAUUGAGCUCUUAUGUAUACGGUUUAUAUGUUUAAUACUGUAUAUGUGUUGCAAAUAUAUUCAGUACUUGUCAUGCUGCAGUUUGCACAAAAGCAUUUCACCACCUGUAUACUUGCAUUCAUUGGUAUUGUGAUAAUAAAGUGAUUUGACUUGAAUUGGUCACAUGACUUGUUCAUCAGUUGUACUGUUGUGCUGGAUAACAGUUGCACAUUGUUUAUGACAUUGAAGAAGAUUAUGAUAGAGACAUGGAUUUGAAGAAAACCAGGAGAGCUCUGAUGAUGAGGAGGAAACUGGAUGUGAUUCUUUGGUGCUCAAGACAUUUCACCAUGCCUUCAUCUGGGUUUCUUCAUCUGAUUAAAAUAAUAUGGUUUUAAUGUAACCCAUUUUUAUUUCACUUGAAUAUCAUUUGUCUUAAUAUGCUACUUUAUCUGUAUUUAUGCUGCAUCCUAGUAAAAUAUUGCAUAUGGUGUUGGAUAAUAAAGUAUGGUGAAUAUUCUGUACUAGAGAUGGUUUUUGGUAGAUACACCAUUUAAUUUUGUAAACAACACAUAUAAUCACCAUGGUUGUUUUGAUUAAGACAUGAACAUUUUGUCAUAUUAAUGAAAUUCAGUUAGAUGAAGAUUGGCAGAAAGCUGCAUUAGAAGAGACUGCAUGGACUUCAUGCACAACUGAAGGAGAUGAAUCAAGGAAAGAUCAACAUGAAUCCUGUUCUGUAUUAUAAUGAAGAUGAUCAUGCACAUUACUGAUGUCUAGCACCUGAGCAGGACAAAGAUGAGACAUUCUUUACAGAGAUUUAUGAAUUAGGUCUUUUAUAUUAUGAUUCUUUAAAUUGCAUGAAUUGUAUGGAACCAUAAACUGCACACUGUCACACAUUGUCUUACUGAAUGACACAUUGGCCUUGUGUGAUGAAGUGUCAGAAUAUGUAUUUGUUGUCUUUGUUUACUAUUAGCACUGUAUUAUUGCUCUUGAUCUUAUGAAAUAAAUUGAGCUCUUUCCAAAUGGG